AAAUAAAAGCAAACACAAACAGAACCCAGUACCCUUCGCCAUCUCUUCUUUCUCUGCAAACGCCUUCUCUCACUACGAACCAAGAAAUCCUUCACUGGGAAACCCCUCGAUUCCUUCUCUUCACUGAAAACCCAGAAAUCCUUCGUCACUGGCAACCCUAACUUCAUAUUACAUGCAAAAUUAACACAUGCACUAUGAGAUGGUUAAGUGGCAAUGUCUAGAGUUACUAUGAGGAAGUUUGAAAAAACAAAGUAAAGGUGAUUUUCUGCCUCCAAAUCAUUGCUACACAUAGUUUCCUUCUCCUUUGAUUUGCACCCAACUUUCCUCCGCCGCUGUAUUUCCCUUCUCACUGUAAGGGUUCGCCGUAUAAAGGCCUCCCCUGUCGUCGACAUUGAAAUUGGUGCCUUUGUUUUGUUUCUUCAACUUCACUUCGCCGUAUUUCACCUUUUCUAGGGUCCGCUAUAUCAAGGUAAUAUCUCUGGUGGUUCACCGUAUUUCACUUCACCGUAGUUAUGUUAUUCCCCUGCUAUUGCAUCUUUCUAUAUGUGUGGUUUAAUGUUAUUAAUCCAAAAUGUUGUGGUUUCUAUUUAAGCUAAGAAGGUUGACGGAUUUUUAAUGUCAUCAAUCCUUGUUUUAUGUUGAUUUAAUUGCUAUCUUCUUCUUAGUUUAAAGGAAUUGUUUCCGCUUUUGAACUUUUAUUUUUCCUAAUCAUAUAUCAGUAGCCACCAUAUUAAUUUAGUGAUGAUGAUUUAUUGUAAAAUUGUGAACAUCAUUUUGAUGUCUAGAAUCUGGAUACAUGAGAAGGAUCAUACAGUAUGUUACUAAUGUGUCAAAAUCCUUGUUCCUAUAGAAUUUUCACCUCGUGACACUCCUACUGGACUUGAUGCUAGAGACCAAUAUGUUCUUCAACUUGGUAGGUUGAUUGAUGCUCUAUAACACUAACACAUUUCUAGGAGGAAGCUGAUCUACAACUAGCUGGUGAGCUUCAAAGAAGCAACACCAACAACCACUUUUCACUGGAAGUUCAAUUCCUUCUCCUACUCAAUUGAGCCUCUAACAUAAAUAUUCAAUUUGUUUGUGUAGAGUGAUGGUAUUAAUUAAUGAUUAUGGAAAACUGAAAUAUCUUGGGUUUGUGGACUCUCAUUUAUGUAUUACUGUGGAAUUCAUGUAAUUGUGCAUACCACUCUACCUACUUGGAUUUAAAGCAUAAUUGAAUGACCAUUCUUUGUACCAAACAUGAUGUAAAUUUAUCUCAUUGAACUAAGAUAAUAGUCAUUGGUCAAACAUAAAUUAGAUUUUCAUAGUUGUGCUUGAGGUGCUGGAUGAUUUGGAUUCCUUAGUCAGAGAGUUGGUCUGUCAUUGGUAGUUGAAAUACUCAGAAACCAGGACAUUUUCUUAUGAAGGGCUAAACUUGUCAUUCUCAAGCAUGGUUGAUCUAUUCAUGGGUUCCAAAUGUCAUUGAUGCCAAGAAGUUUUGUAACAUUGUUGAUAGUGGCAUGUGUUAAGAGACAAGGAUUCUCAGGUUGAGGAUCCCGAUCAGAGUUAGAGGAUUGCUCGUGCUCGUGGUAGUGCGCUUUUUGGUGAGGAGUUUAGCUUAGACUACUCCUUAGAUAUAUUUUGUAUAUCUUUUUGACUGGGUUGUAUAGAAUUGCUCUGAUUAGGUAUUUACCGGGUCGGGUUAUUUGUUUGAAUUGUAUUAAGCCCGUGAUGGCGUAUUUGACCUUGCUAAUCCUUUACUUUUUGUUGUAAACAUAAUAUCCUUGUUGUUGAUAUGGCCUAGAGCCUACGGAUAUUAUGUGAACAAUUUGGAUAUUAUAUGAUAUGCACUAUGAUAAAUAUCGCUUUUAA